rnacentral:lncRNA from 10 species
CCGACUGCUGACGCCGCCUCCCGCGGAGCUCCGGGCCGAAUCGCCUGGGCUGGGCCUCCCGAGAGCCACAGUCAUCUUCAGUCCGCGGGCUAAGUUGCCGCCAUCUUCGUCCUGGAGAAACACUUUUUUGGGGGGAGCGCUGGCUUUUGCGUCAUCUCCUCCCGCGCCGAGCUCGCUCCAUCCUGGCGCAGUGGCGCCGGCUCGGCCCGGGAGGAGGGAGAAGGCGCGCGGGGGCGGGCGGCGGCGGGGCCGCGGGGCCCGGGGGCCCCCGCCCGGCUCCCCGGGCUCAGGCGCCUGCUCUUUCCUUUCUGUCCCCCUGUCCACGAUAUUUUGUUUUAAUCACUGAAGAGAAAAAUAAAAGUCAGACUGCGGACGGCAUGGCCGGUGAGGCUCCUCGCGGCCGCGCCGCCCGCACGCUCUGGCUCCGGGAAGCGUCCGAGUUGCAGGCGCCCGGGCAGAGGUCUCUACUGGUGCGAGGGUCUGGGCAGAGUCCUCUCAACUAAGGACCGAGCCACUUCGGAUGGAAGGUGGGGGUCCGCGGAGGAAGCUCGAAUUGGCUAGAGGAGGGAUGAGGUGACAUUUGGUCUCUGAAUGCGUCUCGGAUCCCGGACCGCGAGAUCCAUCGCUCCCAGUGCGUGCAGUUAUUCCGUCCUGCUGUGUGACACGGGAGAAUGGCGCGCACGCCUGUGCACCUGCAUCGACCGUGUAGCUGCCUGGGUGACAGCCACCCAUUUGUCUAUGUUUUCUUUCCUAUUCUAAAGUAAACGAUUAGAAGUGGCCUCAUAGAGUCUUAGGAAGAAACAGUAAGCCCUGUGCCACCCGGGGUCACUGCCUAGCCCUGCCCUCCGCGCGCACCGUCCGCGUCUCCGAGGGCUCCUCCUCGGACCUGGACCCUCUGGAGCGGCUUCGACCCUCCCUCUGCCCCCGCUGCCUGCGUCCAGACCCCCUCCCGGGUGGGCUCCUCCGAGGACCUCCGCAGCCGCGGGCGAGCUGGGUGCCUGCGAGUCGCCGCCGCAGUCUGAGCCUCUGGUGCCCCUUAGCGUUGGCUCUCGGAGUUCUGAGAAGGGAAAGGAGACAGACACUCUGGGAAAAUCUGGGGUCACCUCGAUUCCGGCUCCUACGCUGGAUGCCGUGGGCAAGCAUCGGUCUCCUUUGAUCUGAAGAUCCUGCCCACUCCGCCCCUUGCCCCUGCCAGACCCGCGGGAGCAGCAGGUGGCGUGGGUGCCAGACGCUGCCGGUGCGCACCGAGUGCAGCGCUGCCCCGGCUCGCCCCGGGGGUCGCGUGGGACAGCGGUUUGCGGUGUCGCCCUCUCUGCGGUGCUUUCCAAGGACCCUCAUGCCCCGCCCGGGUGCACAUUCACCACAUGGGUCUUACUAGGUGACCUCUUUCUAAGUAAAAUGCAUUGAGAAACCAAAGGGAUGGGGCAUCCGUAUCCAUUUUCCUUUAAGGAGCGCUGUGGGUGUUGGGGAUGCGGGAGAAGUAGGUGUUUUUUAAAGAGAAAAUUGCAAAACCUCUUGGGCAGGAUUCGACCUACUAGCCUCUUCUGCUGCAUAAUAAGACUUCAAAACCCACAGGGAUGGUAACAGCAGAGGUCAGAAGAAAAUUAAUUGCCAACAGAGAGGAGGGAAAACACACCUAAGAUAUCUACAUCCAAGAGGACAGGCCACCCAUUUGGGGAGCAUUUCAAUGCAGGUAGAUUUUAAAGUGAAUAAAUAAAAGUAAUGAGGUGAUAACCCUACCAGGUGCUAAAACAUAUGUUAAUGAUAUAAUAAUUAAAUAAAUGUUUAAGUAGGUAAAUAGCAGUAAAAACUAGAAAUGACAGAAAAAAGGCCUAGUACAUGUAAGAAUUUAGUAUAUGAUAAAGGAUAAACAAAAGUAUUACGUAAUAUAUGUUUCUGGGACAAUAGUUUACACAGUGCGAUAUACGUUCACUUAGAUAUUUACUUUCUGAAUAGUUUCUAGACAUGUUAAAUAAUUAAAUAUUAAAAUAAUCAAC